GCCACACUCGUGUUGGUUGUUGGCUGUUUAAUCCUCCUGACAACCUAUUAACACGGCUUCUCUUCACUAUCAGCAACCCCAUUCUGCAGCCGGGAAAACUAAGGCCACACGGAUCACAAAAUGCAAGAGCUGAGAUACAAACCCAGAGCUAGCUGACCGUAGAGUGCAGGUUCUCCCAACGGCUGUGUGUGCCUGCUCACCCCACCCGACCCCUGCUCCCAUGCACACACACACACGUGUGCGCGCACACACACACUUCUCCAUGCUCCAGGCCGUGGCCGUGGCUGCAAUGAAUUGUUCUUAACCUAUCCAUCUUUUGUGCCAGAUACAUGCAGUACCUACACCCCCCCCCGCCUUUUUUUUUUUGACACAGAGUCUCACUCUGUCGCCCAGGCUGGAGUACAGUGGUGUGAUCUCGACUCAAUGCAACCUCCACCUCCCAGGCUGAGGAAGGAGAAUCGCUUGAACCCAGGAGGCGAGAUUGCAGUGGGUGGAGAUUGCGCCAUUGCACUACAGCC
rnacentral:sRNA from 1 species